CAAUAGCGUAUAUUAAAGCUGUUGCGGUUAAAAAGCUCGUAGUUGGAUUUCUGUCAAGGAAAACUGGUCCGCCCUCCGGGUGAGCACAUAGUUUGGUCUUGGCAUCUUGCUGGAAGCUGUUGCUGCACUUGGCUGUGUGGCGCAGCGUCCAGCACUUUCACUUUGAGGAAAUUGGAGUGUUUCAAGCAGGCACAUGCCUUUGGACACAGUAGCAUGGAAUAAUUAGAUUGGGCUUUUGCUCCAAUUUGUCGGUUUCUGGAGCUGAGGUGAGAAUUAAUGGGGAUUGUUGGGGGCAUCCGAAUUUAGCCGUCAGAGGUGAAAUUCUUGGAUCUGCUAAAGACGGACAACUGCGAAAGCGUUUGCCCAGGAUGUUUUCAUUGA
rnacentral:rRNA from 1 species